GGGGCCAUAGCUUAGCUGGGAGAGCGCCUGCCUUGCACGCAGGAGGUCGUCGGUUCGAUCCCGACUGGCUCCACCA
rnacentral:tRNA from 1 species